GGGGGUGUGGCAGAGCGGACGAAUGCGCUGGUCUUGAAAACCAGAGGCCGUAAAACGCCCGUGGGUUCAAAUCCCACCGCCCCCGCCA
rnacentral:tRNA from 2 species